UCGCUUACUUCAGCAGCACAUAUACUGAAAACUAGAACGAUAGACAUUAGCAUGGCCCCUGCACAAGGAUGACACAAAUUUGUGAAGUAUUCCGUAAUUAA
rnacentral:snRNA from 1 species